GAUGAAGAACGUAGCGAAAUGCGAUACGUAAUGUGAAUUGCAGAAUUCAGUGAAUCAUCGAAUCUUUGAACGCACAUUGCGCCCCCUGGUAUUCCGGGGGGCAUGCCUGUUCGAGCGUCAUUUCACCACUCAAGCCUCGCUUGGUAUUGGGCAACGCGGUCCGCCGCGUGCCUCAAAUCGACCGGCUGGGUCUUCUGUCCCCUAAGCGUUGUGGAAACUAUUCGCUAAAGGGUGCUCGGGAGGCUACGCCGUAAAACAAACCCAUUUCUAAGGUUGACCUCGGAUCAGGUAGGGAUACCCGCUGAACUUAAGCAUAUCAAUAAGCGGAGGA
rnacentral:misc_RNA from 1 species